rnacentral:rRNA from 1 species
CUACGGGUUGCUGCAGUGAGGAAUAUUGCACAAUGGGGGGAACCCUGAUGCAGCAACGCCGCGUGGAGGAUGACGCAUUUCGGUGUGUAAACUCCUUUUAUGAGUCAAGAAAAUGACGGUAGCUCAUGAAUAAGCACCGGCUAACUCCGUGCCAGCAGCCGCGGUAAUACGGAGGGUGCAAGCGUUACUCGGAAUCACUGGGCGUAAAGGACGCGUAGGCGGGUUGUCAAGUCAGGUGUGAAAUCCUACAGCUUAACUGUAGAACUGCACUUGAAACUGGCAGCCUAGAGUAUGGGAGGGGGAGAUGGAAUUAGUGGUGUAGGGGUAAAAUCCGUAGAUAUCACUAGGAAUACCUAAAGCGAAGGCGAUCUCCUGGAACAUUACUGACGCUAAGGCGUGAAAGCGUGGGGAGCAAACAGGAUUAGAUACCCCGGUAGUC